GAUCAACGCUGGCGGCGUGCCUAAAACAUGCAAGUCGAACGGGUGGCUUCGGCCACCAGUGGCGAACGGCUGAGUAACGCGUGGGUGACCUACCUCGGAGUGGGGGAGUAACUGCCCGAAAGGGACAGCUAAUACCGCAUGUGGCCGACGGACCAAUCCGUCGUCCAAAGCCGCAAGGCGCUCGGAGAUGGGCCCGCGUCCGAUUAGCUAGUUGGUGGGGUAAAGGCCUACCAAGGCGACGANCGGUAGCUGGUCUGAGAGGACGAUCAGCCAGACUGGGACGUGCGACACGGCCCAGACUCCUACGGGAGGCAGCAGUUAGGAAUUUUGGGCAAUGGGCGAAAGCCUGACCCAGCAACGCCGCGUGGGGGAUGAAGGUCUUCGGAUUGUAAACCCCUUUU
rnacentral:rRNA from 1 species